UACGUAGGGUGCGAGCGUUAAUCGGAAUUACUGGGCGUAAAGCGUGCGCAGGCGGUUUUGUAAGCCAGAUGUGAAAUCCCCGGGCUUAACCUGGGAAUGGCAUUUGGGACUGCAAGGCUUGAGUGCGGCAGAGGAGACUGGAAUUCCUGGUGUAGCAGUGAAAUGCGUAGAUAUCAGGAGGAACACCGAUGGCGAAGGCAGGUCUCUGGGCUGACACUGACGCUCAUGCACGAAAGCGUGGGAGCGAAACAACGG
rnacentral:rRNA from 1 species